rnacentral:rRNA from 1 species
CCCCUUGAGGGGUUAAGGCUCCCAGUAGACGACUGGGUUGAUAGGCCGGAUCUGGAAGGCGGGUAACCGCUGGAGGUGACCGGUACUAAUAGGCCGAGGGCUUGUCCUC